rnacentral:pre_miRNA from 1 species
AAUGUACUCCCUCCGCUCGGAAUUACUUGUCUCGGAAAUGGAUGUAUCUAGAACUAAAAUACGCCUAGAUACAUCCAUUUCUACGACAAGUAAUUCCGAACGGAGGGAGUAUGAA